CCUGGCCAGAACAACAGAUCCUGCGCCAUAUGAGAAGCCAAUCGUGAAGUUCACGUUUCCAUUCUAAAUUUAUGAGAUUAUUCAAUUUACAAUAAAGAUAAAGAGAAAUGGAAAUGUGACUCAUAUAUAGUGAACUCCAAAUUAUUGUCUAAGAGAAGCGAUCGAAUAUUAAAUGUGAAGGUCAAAUAAGACUGGGUCCGAACAUGCAAAAAAAAGACCGGAGAACGCAGUCGCAAACGCUUAUUGAAACGGACAAAUUUCGAUUCGGAAAAUAAUGACCACUCGAUACAUCCUGGAAAACGAUUCAGCCUUAGUUCCAGGACAACCCCUAGCUUCGAGGGGAAGGGCCUGAUUUGUAACACCCGCAAAUGUUUUAUUUAAACGUCUCGUGGCCAACAAUUCCAUUGCUACGGAAUUGAAAUCCUACGCGUAGCAUUGCUGCUUAGGAGAGUACCGGAUAGCCGUCGAGCGCGGAGGAAAUAGUGAUUACAAUGCUUUCCUGAGCUCCACGAACGGCGUGAAUGGCUUUGAGACAUUAACCUCCAGUCAUUUCAAGCGUUGAGCAACGAUUCUGCGGUUUAUACUUGAUUUGCCGGGACGCAACAGCUGACGAGACAAACAGAAGAUUGCCCGUAUAAUUUCUUUUCAAAAAAACAAUUCUUGCAUUUUUUGUCAUGUAUUAACGAACAACAGACAAUCGAUUCUAUUCAAUUUAAUCCAAGUUCGAUUAUACACAUUAUACUACUUUAUACAUAGUUUCCACUUAGGUCUUAGGUGGUUAAGUACUAAUAUUCUAUGAAUAACGAACGAACGGAUCGAUCGAUCGCGGCCAAUGACGCGCGUAAGGUCGCGAUUUACCCGGCGCAAUCGUUUGAAAGUACAAGUUCCUGUUGAUUUUUAUCGCAAACUCGUGUGCACGUAUGCUUGUACUAUUCCGUGCCAGUUGUUCCUGGUUGAAAAUCUGGGUAACUGGCAUAAGGACGGUCAAUCGUGAUCGGUGACAUGCGAUUUAUGGUUCCGUCUCGCUUCCCUUUAUCAGCCGCCUAUAUCGUAAACAUAUUCACGAUAUUCCUGUCUACACAGGCCAUAGAGCGUGAAAGUGCGCACGUUAAAUUGUAUGAGA